AUUAGUUUAAGAGGUACUCACACAAAACUUGACAUAGUGAUUGUACACCACCCAAAGACCCUGCCGUUCUUUGGGAGGUGUCCAAACUCCAUGUCAGGUUACGCAGAUUAAGUGCAAUUUCUUAUAUUCUAAAUCAAUGUGAUUUAGAGCCGAGCCGAUACGGGAGUAGAUGGAAGGUUAGCGUACUGAUACGAUCUGUUUGUUUUCUCAUGUACGUAUUUAUUAAAACACAAGCGUAUCUAUACGCAUA